UACGGGGGGGGCAAGCGUUGUUCGGAAUUACUGGGCGUAAAGGGCUCGUAGGUGGCCAACUAAGUCAGGCGUGAAAUCCCUCGGCUUAACCGGGGAACUGCGUCUGAUACUGGAUGGCUUGAGAUUGGGAGAGGGAUGCGGAAUUCCUGGUGUAGCGGUGGAAUGCGCAGAUAUCAGGAGGAACACCAAUGGCGAAGGCAGCUCGCUGGGACGGUACUGACGCUGAGGCGCGAAAGCGUGGGGAGCGAACAGG
rnacentral:rRNA from 1 species